rnacentral:rRNA from 1 species
AGGAUAAACGCUGGCGGCGUGCCUAACACAUGCAAGUCGAACGCGCUUUCGGGCUUCGGUGCGAGAGCGAGUGGCGGACGGGUGAGUAACACAUGGGUACCUACCUUGGAGUGAGGGAUACCGGCGAGAAAUCGCCGACAAUACCGCAUAGGCUUCUUCACAAGGGAAGCAAAGUGACGCGAGUCACGCUUUGAGAUGGGCCUGUGGCCGAUUAGCUAGUUGGGGGGGUAACGGCUUCCCAAGGCGACGAUCGGUAGCUGGUCUGAGAGGACGAUCAGCCACACUGGGAUUGAGAACGGCCCAGACUCCUACGGGGGGCAGCAGUGAGGAAUUUUCCGCAAUGGAGGCAACUCUGACGGAGCAACGCCGCGUGCAGGAGGAAGGUUUUCGGAUCGUAAACUGCUUUUCGUCGGGGACGAGCAAGGACGGUACCCGAGGAAGAAGCCCCGGCUAACUACGUGCCAGCAGCCGC